rfam:Clostridium halophilum strain M1 genome assembly, contig: G325DRAFT_scaffold00016.16
UAAGCGCUGAAGGCAUCUAAGCGCGAAGCCCACCUUAAGAUAAGAUUUCCCAUCCGAAAGGAGUAAGACCCCAGAAAGACCAUCUGGUUGAUAGGCCUAAGGUGUAAGGGCAGUAAUGUCUUUAGCUGAUAGGUACUAAUAGGUCGAGGGCUUGACCAA